rnacentral:rRNA from 1 species
AAACUUUCAACAACGGAUCUCUUGGCUCUGGCAUCGAUGAAGAACGCAGCGAAAUGCGAUAAGUAAUGUGAUUUGCAGAAUCCAGUGAAUCAUCGAAUCUUUGAACGCACAUUGCGCCCGCCAGCAUUCUGGCGGGCAUGCCUGUUCGAGCGUCAUUU